GGUCUCCUGAUGUUUACCACAGGCUGUGUUCUUAGAAUGACUGUACAGAAAGAGGAGGCAAAGUACACCUACCCCAUAUACCCUCAGCCCACGCCCUGUAUUGUGAAUGAGGACACAUGG
rnacentral:snoRNA from 1 species